AAGCUAAGCCAAUAGGGAUGAACCCCCAAUGUGAAAUGAAUAAACCUCACAAAUUACAGUAAUAAGUAACCUAAAUAUAAGUUAUAAACUUUAAACAAUGAACUGCUGACUCUGAUUAGAAUUAUAACUAUUACUAUUAAUUUAAAGCCUAAUGAACCUGUUUGAAUGUUAAAUCAUAACCAGAAUAAAACAACAAAAGGGGGGAAUGCACUGGCAGAUAGCUGCAAAGGGGAAGAAAGGAAGGGGUUAAAGGACUGCUGAACCUGUAAUUAAGGAAACAAAAUGGCCGUCGCAAGAAACAAAAUGGCCACCGCAGAGGGAGCACACUACUAAAGAGACCUAAAGGACUAUUUUACCCACUAAUCAACCACUAUAAUAAUGAAAACGGAACAAAAACAACUAAAGGAUCAUCCACAUCAGGAUUGGGUCCGCCUAUCCAUCGCUUGAGGACGUGCGCAAUGAAAACCGUGAGGCACAACAUUUUGUGAUGGAAACACAGAGAUGAAACACAAGACAGACUCUGUGAAACCUCCACGCUCUCUGUCUCUCAACAGAGUGACCGUUGAUCCCCCUCCUCCUGAGUAAAUUCUGUUGUCAGAACAUUGCUGGGCCAACGUUUGUGAGGUCACAGAAUGCUGCCUACCUGAGCUGGCCUUGUGGGUUGCCCAAAGGAAAAGGGCUAACCCUUGUAUGUUGGUGACCUCCCUAUUCGUAGAUGCAUUAAAAAAUGAAUAUCUCCCUUCUCCGGAUCUCUAAUACCGCUGAGGACAAGCCGUGAUUAAGCGCAAGCGCAAAACAGACUCAUUUUAUAGAUAGAUUUAUCUGUCUUUUAAAAGAUGGUUACCCCACCUUUCUCCUUAAAAAAGGAGCCAAAGCAGCUCAACAUUCUUAAAAGAUAAUCUUCAGUUCUUCCAAAAAACAAACAGACUGGUUUAUGAAUGUGGAAUAUUGAGCUUCUGUGUUCAUGAUUCGAAAAUCCAGGAAAGGGCCCGAAAUGGUGGCACAAUAGGGUGCCUGCAUUGCCAGCAGGAGAAAGGAUGCCAAGCUUUACCUAGCUGAGGGCAGCCUAGAUUUUGACAGC
rnacentral:lncRNA from 1 species